rnacentral:misc_RNA from 1 species
GAUGAAGAACGUAGCGAAAUGCGAUAAGUAGUGUGAAUUGCAGAAUUCAGUGAAUCAUCGAAUCUUUGAACGCACAUUGCGCCCCUUGGUAUUCCAUGGGGCAUGCCUGUUCGAGCGUCAUUUGUACCUUCAAGCUUUGCUUGGUGUUGGGUGUUUGUCCAUUCUCUUGCAGAGGGACUCGCCUUAAAGUAAUUGGCAGCCAGUGUUUUGGUUUUGAAGCGCAGCACAAGUCGCGAUUCAACGCUAUACGCCAGCUUCCACAAGCCUUUUUCACUUUUGACCUCGGAUCAGGUAGGGAUACCCGCUGAACUUAAGCAUAUCAAGCGGAGGA